GUCAUAAUCAGGUCUUUGAAAAGGGUAAUGCCAACUUAGAGAAAGCAACUUAUCAGCAGUUAGAAAUUGCUAAAUGGGUUUCAGAUUCCAGUAUUUUGUGUGAUAAUUCCAAAUACCAGGUGCCAGGACAAAAUUCCUAGUCGCCAUGGGGACCUGGCACCUGAGAUUUGUUGAGCCCUGGGUCAUGACACUAAAUAUUUAAAUCAGACCCCUAUUUAGCUAUAGCAAUUUGAUGUCCUGUUUUCAAAGACCUGAUUAUUGGGUGUUUGUGAACCCAUUUACCAUUGUACUGAUGCCUACCGGUGCAGUGGUGGAACUGCAGGGGUCGCUGUGUUCGGCCUUUCAUGGAGGGUCCAAGAGCUGACUGACUGUCAAUCAUUGACCCCGAUGGAGGGAGCUGUGGUCUAUGCUAAAAAAUAUAUACAUGCCAGUCAGUUUUUUUUUUUUUUUUUUUCAAGAAAACAUAUAUACAUAUGAGAGAGAGGUGUGUAGUGGAUGCAGUGAGAGUAUUUGAUUAGUAAAUGCAGUGUGUUUGUGUGUAAAUGUCUCUUAGUGCGUCCCGCGUCCCCCCCUCAUCAUUCGCCUGUUCCUCUCUCUUUUUUAGUGGUGUUCCCCCUACCCCAGUGUUCCUUUUCCCUUCCCUCACAUGUACCUUAGUAUCCUC